rnacentral:rRNA from 1 species
UACGGAGGAUCCGAGCGUUAUCCGGAUUUAUUGGGUUUAAAAGGGUGCGCAGGCGGGAGAUUAAGUCGGCGGUGAAAUUUUGCAGCUCAACUGUAAAAGUGCCUUCGAAACUGGUUUCCUUGAGUGUAGAUGAAGUAGGCGGAAUUUGUGGUGUAGCGGUGAAAUGCAUAGAUAUUACACAGAACACCAAUUGCGUAGGCAGCUUACUGAGCCGACACUGACGCUGAGGCACGAAAGCGUGGGGAUCAAACAGGAUUAGAUACCCU